UAAGGAAUAUUGGUCAAUGGACGCAAGUCUGAACCAGCCAUGCCGCGUGAAGGAUGAAGGUCCUCUGGAUUGUAAACUUCUUUUACCUGGGACGAAAACGGGAUUUUUAUCUCAAUUGACGGUACCAGAGGAAUAAGCACCGGCUAACUCCGUGCCAGCAGCCGCGGUAAUACGGAGGGUGCGAGCGUUAUCCGGAUUUACUGGGUUUAAAGGGUGCGUAGGUGGGCUUAUAAGUCAGUGGUGAAGUCUCCGAGCUUAACUUGGAAACUGCCGUUGAUACUAUAGGUCUUGAAUUAUCUGGAGGUAAGCGGAAUAUGUCAUGUAGCGGUGAAAUGGUUAGAUAUGACAUAGAACACCAAUUGCGAAGGCAGCUUACUACAUAUAAAUUGACGCUGAGGCACGAAAGCGUGG
rnacentral:rRNA from 1 species